AUUGAACGCUGGCGGCAGGCCUAACACAUGCAAGUCGAGCGGAUGAAGAGAGCUUGCUCUCUGAUUCAGCGGCGGACGGGUGAGUAAUGCCUAGGAAUCUGCCUGGUAGUGGGGGACAACGUCUCGAAAGGGACGCUAAUACCGCAUACGUCCUACGGGAGAAAGCAGGGGACCUUCGGGCCUAGCGCUAUCAGAUGAGCCUAGGUCGGAUUAGCUAGUUGGUGAGGUAAUGGCUCACCAAGGCGACGAUCCGUAACUGGUCUGAGAGGAUGAUCAGUCACACUGGAACUGAGACACGGUCCAGACUCCUACGGGAGGCAGCAGUGGGGAAUAUUGGACAAUGGGCGAAAGCCUGAUCCAGCCAUGCCGCGUGUGUGAAGAAGGUCUUCGGAUUGUAAAGCACUUUAAGUUGGGAGGAAGGGCAGUAAAUUAAUACUUUGCUGUUUUGACGUUACCGACAGAAUAAGCACCGGCUAACUCUGUUACAGCCGCCGCCGUAA
rnacentral:rRNA from 1 species